AAUCAGCGCGAGGGGGCGGGGCCGGCGCGGCGCCGUUACCGCCCGGGAAAGGGGAGGAGGCGCCGCCAUCAUGAGCUACGGGUACGGAGAUUGGAAUUCGGGCUCGAGCAGAGGGUACGAGGGCUAUGGCUACGGCUACGGCCACGAGGGCUCCGGGGGCUUCGGCUUCGGAGCGGCCGCCGGCAAUUCCUGGGAUUUGGGCAAUUCCGACCCCGACGGGGCCCCCGAGGGCGGAGACGGCGCCGGGAAACAGCGGCAGGAACCGGGGAGCACCGGGAUGCACGCCGAGGCCGAGGGGCUGCAGGGACGGGGCUACGGGGCCGCCCCCGACAGGUGGGAAUGGGAAUGUGGGAAUUUGGGAAUUUGGGAUUGGGACUGGAGGAACCGGGAAGCACCGGGAUGCACGCCGAGGCUGAGGGGAUGCAGGGACGGGGC
rnacentral:lncRNA from 1 species